rnacentral:lncRNA from 1 species
UUGAAUUUGUACUUAGUGGCUUAUAUUACGGACUAACAUACCUGAGAUUAUUUAUGUUUUGACUAUACUAGUCUAUUAAUCUACUUUUGAGAUUAUUUUAGGUUUAUCAUGUUCUUAUUUUCUUUCAUUUCUGUAUAUUUGGAAUGUUGCGUUUGGGAUUGGGUUCUUAGCUUACCUAUCAUGAAGGGUUGGAUAGGUGCUAUCAUGGUCCCAAUUUUGAAUUGGGACAGGAGCUUAGUAACUUGUUUGGAAACGUUAGUUGUGAGGGGAUUCAAUUUCUCUCUCAGUCUUCGUAGAAGUUAGGUGUUUGAUUAAGUUUAAACUUUGGAGGUCUUUGAUUUAAUAUACCUUUGAUUUCCUAUGUUUUCUUUUCUUAUGUCAAUCUAUUUAUCGUUUUUCUUUCUUAUCUUUUGAUUUUUCGUACUUUAUAUUUGUAUUCAUAUUUUGAUUCGCAUCCGUACCCAAUAAAUUUAAGACGGGUCAAACAUGAACAAAACCCAUAUCAUCCAUCCAAAAGUAGGUAGUUUAAUGGGAAAAGGUUAAAAACAACCUCUCGAGUGGAAAAAGUGACUCAAAAAUGACUAAUGAUUUCAAAAUACCAUAUCGUUGGUUAUUAGCAGCUAGCGGCGUCUUAUUUGCGCAACUUUAUUUGACUUUUUUUUUUUUACUAUUUUUUUGUUUGUUUUGUUUUACUUUUGUUGUUGAUCUUCUUUACUUCUUUAUUAUUAUUCUUAUAUAAAUAAAUUGUACAAAAUUAUUUCUUGCUCUUUUUGUCACUACUUUUUUGCUCCUUUUUUUUUAAAAAAAAAUAAUCAAAUAAAAAAAGUGUAUGUUUUCAACUAUAAUAUUUUUUUAAAAAGUAAUAUAUAUUGACACAAUGCUAUACAUAUUGAUACAUAUAUACAAAUACAUAUAUACUAAUAUAUGUUGAAACGAUAUAAUACAUGUAUAAUACAAUACAAACAAGUAUAUAUAUGAGUGUUCUAAAGUAUUGAUACAUACAUGAAACACAAUAAAUAUCUUAUACAUAUUGAUACAAUAAAAUAUAUAUGUACAAUUUAAUACAUAUUGAUAUAAUAUAAUACAUAACUGGUACAUAUAUGUGUGUGCGCGUGCGUGCACUUACACAUUCUAUAUAACCUCUUGUUAUAAUAAUUAUUUAGGUACUUUUCUAUACAACAAUUAUACAUUCUCUAUACAUGUCUUAUACACACACAUAUUUAAUACAAUAAUUAUAAAAAAUUUAUACUCAUCCUAUAUAGUUUCUAUGCAUAUAUCUUAUAUAGGUAUAUAUUCUAUAUAAUAAUUAUACAAUUUCUAUACAAUUGUAUUUAAUUUAUUUAUUUGUUUAAAAAGGAAAUCAAAUUAUUUUAGCCCCAAAAAAUUAUAGCGAAACAAGAAAAAAAAUUACGGCCAAAAUGACCCAAGAAGAAACGGAGAACCGAAGUAGUCCAAUUACUUUGGGCUAACAACAGUUCGGCCGACUUGCAUAGUUUGGCAAAAUUAGUUAAAUGUUGGUUAUUUGUUUUCAAAAUGGCUAUUGGGUGCCCUUUUCCCUAGUUUAAUAGGCAAAAUGGGCAAAAGAUGCCCAAUCAUUAAAAAAAAAGUGAUGCUAAAUUUAUUUUUUGUAAUGUAGGUGCUCGAGGUAGGGGGUGAGGGUGGGGGUCGGGGUCAGGGGGUAUGACAAUUUUUUUCUUUUUUUGAAAAACAAACUAAAAGAAUUACAUUUUUUUGGGGGGUGGAGGAGGGGGUUGGGAGUCGAGUAGCGGGGUGAUAAAAAAAUUACUUUUUUUAAAAGAGAAAUUACAUUUUUAUGGGUGGGGGUGAGAUUUUGUUAGAGGUAAUAAAAAAUUAUUUUAAAAAAUAGAUUAAAAGAAAAAGUUGGAGAUGGCGGUAUGGUGGGGUGGUAAAAAAAAAAUAAAAACUAGGGAUGGCCAUAUCAGAGCCACAUGUCAAAUUAUUAUUUAUUUUUAAAAAAUGACCCCACUAUUUUGUAUAUUAUAUAAUAAAAUAAAAAAUAAAAGAGUAAAUCUCCCUGUGUCAUUCCUUUCAUCUUCACACCCAUCACCCUUCUUUCUUGUUCUGCAAUCCUGGCUCUCUUUCUCAGCUUCUUCAAACCCAUUCAUCCUCUUCUUCCUUCAAAAAUACCUUUUUUUUUAUAAUUUGAAAAUUUGAAAAAUCUAGCUAACACAACUUACAUUAAUUCAAAAUAAAAAUAAAAAUAAAAAUUAACAAAUAGAACCACAAGUUAGAUGCCACCACACGAAAAGCAAACAAGAAAUGAUAUCGAAUUUGAAGAAAAUCAAGUAAUCUUUGAGCAACCUUUGAACAGAAAAAAAAAUCAAGUCUUGGAGAUUGUAAAAUCGAGAAAAAUGUUUGACUUAUGAAAAAUUGAAUUUGUUAUACAUUUCUUCUUCUCAACAAUGAAUUUGAAAAAAAUAUUAAAAUUCACAACUUUUAUCAUACACAUUUUUUUCUUUCUGAAAGAAAUUGAUGAAGUGUAAUGGAAGUAGAGGUGGAGGCUUACAGGAAGGAUAAAGAGAAUUGGAGUAUGUAAGAAGAAAGAACAAAAAGAAUGGGAUGAGGACUGGAGGCAUAGAAGAAGAACG